rnacentral:rRNA from 1 species
AAGACCUUGCACUUUUGGAGCGGCCGAUGUCUGAUUAGCUAGUUGGUGGGGUAAUGGCCUACCAAAGCUUCGAUCAGUAGCUGGUCUGAGAGGACGGCCAGCCACACUGGGACUGAGACACGGCCCAGACUCCUACGGGAGGCAGCAGUGGGGAAUUUUGGACAAUGGGCGCAAGCCUGAUCCAGCCAUGCCGCGUGAGUGAAGAAGGCCUUCGGGUUGUAAAGCUCUUUCAGCCGGGAAGAAAAGGUUGCGACCAAUAAUCGCAAUCCAUGACGGUACCGAAAGAAGAAGCACCGGCUAACUACGUGCCAGCAGCCGCGGUAAUACGUAGGGUGCGAGCGUUAAUCGGAAUUACUGGGCGUAAAGGGUGCGCAGGCGGUUUUGUAAGUCAGAUGUGAAAUCCCCGGGCUUAACCUGGGAACU